rnacentral:rRNA from 1 species
GGUGCUGCAUGGCUGUCGUCAGCUCGUGUCGUGAGAUGUUGGGUUAAGUCCCGCAACGAGCGCAACCCUUGCCUUUAGUUGCCAGCAGUUCGGCUGGGCACUCUAAAGGGACUGCCGGUGUUAAACCGGAGGAAGGUGGGGGAUGACGUCAAGUCCUCAUGGCCUUUAUGACCAGGGCUACACACGUACUACAAUGGCCGAUACAAAGGGCAGCGACACUGCGAGGUGAAGCCAAUCCCGUAAAAUCGGUCUCAGUCCGGAUUGGAGUCUGCAACUCGACUCCAUGAAGUUGGAAUCGCUAGUAAUCGUGGAUCAGCAUGCCACGGUGAAUACGUUCCCGGGCCUU